rnacentral:lncRNA from 1 species
UAAAAAACAAUUUAGAAAUAAUGUAUAAUGUAAUAAUGUAUCUCUUUACAUGUAAUACUUGCAAAUUCAGUGUUUCUUGGGGAAAAGAUAUUGUCUUUACUUUAAUUGCUUUGUAAUCUGAGUAUUUCUCAGCUUUGUAUAUAGGCUAUAUAUAUUCUGGUGUGAUUUUAAAGUUUUCUUUAGGGACCAAAGAUUAAAAAAUUCUAAACCUUCUUUUCAUGACGUUGGCAGGGCUGGUGCGCGGCUGCAGGGGGCCAAUAUGGUUAUAAGGAUAAUGGAGAAUAAGGUACUUUAGAAUGCACCUUAUUAUCCAAUGACAUAAACUGCAUUGUUGGUGUUGUCUUUAAUUAAACAUUUAAUAUGAUGAAAUAAAUCAUACCUUCUUAUAAACUGAUACUGAGUUUGAUUUUAUUGAAUUUCAGAGGUGUGUGUGUGUAGGCUAUUAAUUCAGUAACAAACCCACAAUUCUCUUAUGGCACGUACAUUCUGUGUACAUUUACAUCUCAAGUAGUGUGAAUUCAGGGAAAACCUGUCAUUUAGAUACUUAGAUGUUUUUUCUUUUUUUUUUACUUGUUAACUUUAAGGUCCAGCAAUAAUAUUUUAAUUUGAAUACAGUUCAAAUGAAGCGUUAUUUGAAAGAUAUAUAACCAACAAACAUUUUGAGGUCAUGUAGGGCCUAACUGUCAUGUCUUAAAAAAAUGAUUUGUCUGAGUUUAAAAGCUUGUUACUAUAUUUUAGAGGUGUGUGUGUGUGUGUGUGUGCUGAGUAUGUCAUUCAGUAACAAACCUUCCAUUCAUCUUCAAUUAUUUUAUCCAAAAUUACUAGAAUUACAUUUUUCUAGUUUUCUUCAAACAUAUUUUAGGCUGAUCUUUGUGCAGCUGAGAUCUGCUGUAUUUGUGGCUACUGUCUAAAAAGCAACAAAGCCUAAAUAAUGUUGUAAGCGCAUGAUAUAUUCCCAACAUGUAUAACAUAAGUGAUGUGUAUUAAUAUUAUCAUAUUUUUUUACAUGGCUAAUAUGUGGUGCAAUAGUCAUAAUCUUCAGAAAUCGCUCCCACAAUUCAUAUUUGAGCUCCACAGCAGCAGACCACCUGAUGGUCAAAGUGGCAUUACGUCAAUAAAGUGUGCACUCAGAGGAAGACCAUGAGGAUGAGGUCUUAGCAGUGUGAAAUGCUAGCUAGCUAAGUAGCUCAAAUUCUACAAAGCACUAUUAUCAUUCCUCACCGCCCACUCGUGUGAUAUAAUGGGCUCCUUCA